GACCGGUUAGCUCAGUCAGUUGAGCGCAGGGCUAACAAUCCUAAGGUCGUGGGUUUGAUUCCCGCUCGGUCC
rnacentral:tRNA from 1 species